ACAUAGGUUAUUUAUAUUACAUACCUACGUGUGUAUGGUUACUAUCACCUAGACAACAACUUUUAAAAAAGAAUAAUAAAUGUUUAAUACAGCCUAUAGGCUUAUAUAAUAUGUUAUACAUAUAUUAACAUAUCAAAAAUGUGUCAAUCACCUUUUGAUUAUAGCCACACGUUGAUGUACAUUACAUUCUUCUUCCCUCGAAUUUAUUUUUGUUUGUAGGUUAUUCGAAUCGUGUCGUUUGAACUUAGCAUACUUGCAUUAUUAAAUUUAAUGACAACCGACAUUUAAAUAAUAUAUAAUUAUAAAUGAUUUUUUUUACAAUAUUUUAAAAAAUUAUUUAAAAUGGUUUAAGUGUUUAAUAUAUAUUACAAGAGGUAACUCAAGCAUAUUAUUCACAUAGAAUUACACAGUAAUUUUUACUUAGCAGUUCACGUAUAGAUGACAGUAGACACACAAAGUAUUGAACACAUAGGUAGACAAUUUUUGAAGAUUAUAUAAUGGAAUCUGAAAGUAUUAAAAUUGUAAAAUAUUUGUUAUACAUCUUUAAUGUGAUAUACGGGAUUACAGGAGUGGCUUUAAUAGUAACUGGCAUCAUCGUAAUUGCAGAUUUAGGACGUUUUUCAAAUUAUUUAAAUUUUUCAAUUAUUGCGCCACCAAUAUUGUUUAUUAUAUUAGGUAUAUGCGUAAUAGUAUCGAGUAUAUUUGGAUUUUAUUGUAUUAACAAAGAAAAUUUCAAUUUAUCAAUAGUGUUUACAUUAAUUUUACUAACGGUUCUGGUAAUCGAAGUAUUAUUAUCUAUUAUGUCAUCAGUAUCCAAAGAAAAUUUUAAUAAUGAUUUAAGAUUUUCUCUAAAAACGUCUAUGGGAAAAUAUUCGUUUGAAGAAACUCAUCGGAAUUCGUGGUCUACGAUUCAACGAAAACUAGAAUGUUGUGGAGUUGAUACACCUAGAGAUUGGUCAAUUAUAUUUCCAGAAAAUCUAGUUCCUGUUUCAUGUUGUCAAAAUUUACCAGUUGAAUUAGGUGCAUUAUGCAGGAAUUUAUUUGAUGAAAGAAUAAUUUAUCAAAAAGGAUGUUAUAACGGAUUAAAUAAUCGAGUGAGAUCUAGAUUAACCAUUAUAAUGUAUAUUGCCUUAGCAUUUGGUCUUUUCCAGGUGGUUGGGAUUGUGUUAGCUUGUUUUUAUACGUAUUUAUUGAAAAACGGUCAAGGAAGCAAGUAAGAUAAUUAUAGUUUUUUUUUUAAAUGAGAAGUUGUAAAAUUGCUGUACAUAUACUCAUCAUACAACUUGUACAUAAAACAAGUAGAAAUUCACACAAUUUUAUUCAAAACAGAUGACAUCAAGAUGAUGUAGGAUUUGAUACAAAUUAUUUAAACAAAUCCUACAACCAAAAUACAUAUUCACGUGACAUGUUAAGUCGUAAAGAUCAAUUAAGCAAUUUAUUAGAUGCAUUAAGAAAACAAAGAAAAAAAAUGAAUUUUUAAAGGUGUUUACGUCUUAUUUCUUUUUCAUAAUCCUUAUAAAUGUAUAAAAUAUUAUCUUCUAAUUUGUACUAUUUAUUUAA